rnacentral:rRNA from 1 species
CCUACGGGUGGCAGCAGUAAGGAAUAUUGGUCAAUGGGGGCAACCCUGAACCAGCCAUGCCGCGUGCAGGAAGACGCCCUAUGGGUUGUAAACUGCUUUUAUCUGGGAAUAUGUACCAGAAGAAUAAGGAUCGGCUAACUCCGUGCCAGCAGCCGCGGUAAUACGGAGGAUCCAAGCGUUAUCCGGAUUUAUUGGGUUUAAAGGGUGCGUAGGCGGCCUGUUAAGUCAGGGGUGAAAGACGGUAGCUCAACUAUCGCAGUGCCCUUGAUACUGAUGGGCUUGAAUGGACUAGAGGUAGGCGGAAUGAGACAAGUAGCGGUGAAAUGCAUAGAUAUGUCUCAGAACACCGAUUGCGAAGGCAGCUUACUAUGGCUAUUGACGCUGAGGCACGAAAGCGUGGGGAUCAAACAGGAUUAGAUACCCUUGUAGUC